GACGAACGCUGGCGGCGUGCUUAACACAUGCAAGUCGAACGGUGAACCAGAGCUUGCUCUGGGGAUCAGUGGCGAACGGGUGAGUAACACGUGGGCAACCUGCCCAGACUCUGGGAUAACCUCGGGAAACCGAUGCUAAUACCGGAUACGACCACUUCGGACAUCCGACGGUGGUGGAAAGUUUUCGGUCUGGGAUGGGCCCGCGGCCUAUCAGCUAGUUGGUGGGGUAAUGGCCUACCAAGGCGACGACGGGUAGCCGGCCUGAGAGGGCGACCGGCCACACUGGAACUGAGACACGGUCCAGACUCCUACGGGAGGCAGCAGUGGGGAAUAUUGCACAAUGGGCGAAAGCCUGAUGCAGCGACGCCGCGUGAGGGACGACGGGCCUUCGGGUUGGUAAACCUCUUUCAGCAGGGACGAAGCGAAAGUGACUGUACCUGCAGAAGAAG
rnacentral:rRNA from 1 species